GUUCUCCCCGAAAUGCAUUUAGGUGCAGCGUCGCGUGUUGCCCGGCGGAGGUAGAGCUACUGGGUGGCUGAUGGGCCCCACAGGGUUACUGACGUCAACCAAACUCCGAAUGCCGUCGGGUUGUAGCGUGGCAGUGAGACCGCGGGGGAUAAGCUCCGUGGUCGAGAGGGAAACAGCCCAGAUCGCCGGCUAAGGCCCCUAAGCGUGUGCUAAGUGGGAAAGGAUGUGCGGUCGCGCAGACAACCAGGAGGUUG
rnacentral:rRNA from 1 species